UACGUAGGGGGCAAGCGUUGUUCGGAAUUACUGGGCGUAAAGGGCGCGUAGGCGGCAUGGCAAGUCGGGAGUGAAAGGCCUGGGCUCAACCGAGGAACUGCUUUCGAGACUGCCAAGCUAGAGUGCGGAAGGGGCAUCUGGAAUUCCCAGUGUAGCGGUGAAAUGCGUAGAUAUCGGAAGGAACAUCAGUGGCGAAAGCGGCUUCCUGGACCAGCACCGACGUUCAGGCACGAAAGCGUGGGGAGCAAACAGG
rnacentral:rRNA from 1 species